rnacentral:rRNA from 1 species
UACGUAUGGGGCUAGCGUUGUUCGGAAUUAUUGGGCGUAAAGGGCGUUUAGGUGGGGAAUUAAGUUAGGUGUGAAAUCCAUGGGCUCAACCCGUGAAUUGCAUCUAAAACUGAUUCUCUUGAGUUCGGGAGAGGAGAGCGGAAUUCCAGGUGUAGCGGUGAAAUGCGUAGAUAUCUGGAAGAACACCAGUGGCGAAGGCGGCUCUCUGGCCUAGGACUGACACUGACGCGCGAAAGCGUGGGGAGCGAACAGG